UAACGUAGGGUGCAAGGCGUUAAUCGGAAUUACUGGGCGUAAAGGCGUGCGCAGGCGGUUAUGUAAGACAGAUGUGAAAUGCCCGGCUUAACCUGGGAACUGCAUUUGUGACUGCAUGGCUAGAGUUUGGCAGAGGGGGGUAGAAUUCCACGUGUAGCAGUGAAAUGCGUAGAUAUGUGGAGGAACACCGGAUGGCGCAAGG
rnacentral:rRNA from 1 species